CAGAGAACUCAAUUCAGUAGGUCAGAAGUAAGUCCAAGAAUCUGUAUUUUGAACCAGUAUCCCAGGUAAUUCUGAUGCUCUUGGGCAGCAAGCCCAGUGGAGAAACACUGGCCCCUUCCGGAUUUGGUCUUCUCUGAGCCUGCGUUUUACCACGCCACAGCAGACAGAAUUUCUGCUGAGUGUGAGGUGACAGGAAGGCCAGGGAAUAACGUCAUGAUCCUUAACCUGAAUGCGAUGACAUCAUGGUGGGGCUGGGCAGCAGUGGCUUUGUGCUCCUGUCCCUGAGCUGGACUGGUGGGCCCUGGUCACUCACCAAUUACACACACAGGCUCACAGGGAUAUGGUCAUCCCGUCUGGGCUGACAUCAUUCAUUAUCCCGACUGAAAAUUAGGACCAGCUGGCCCUAACAGGCUCCCCACCUUGGUCUUGCUGCAAGUAUGUCCGUAAAUGUGAAAACAAGCCUCUGGCCAACCCGGAAAUUCUCAGUCAUCAAUAGGCUGUAAGCACCACUGGUCAGAAUUCGCUGUUUGUGCAUCAACCUAUUUAAUUAGUGACUGCCUCCUCCCUCCCUUCUCACACAUGGACUAAGCCCCGAUUCUAGGUCAGGCUCUGAACUGGGGGCUUGGGAUACAGAAAUGCAUAAUGGGAUGCAGUAUAAACCCCCUCCCAUCCCCAGACACACCCACUAAUGCAUCUGCUAUCUGGAAACCAUGGGGUAUUACAGGCUGUGAAUCUUUUUCAGGCUAGGAGCUUCCAAACGUAUCAACAGUUUCCAGGUGGCCUGAAGCCUAGGAAAAACAAGCCCCCUAAGGUCUAGUCUUUCACUAUCUGGACUGAAGUUCACGGGCGGAUCAUAGCAGAUAGGCUGGUGGUCAUGCCAAUCAAGUAAUUCUUUCUCACAAACAACAGGCUUCCGUUACUGGCUCCACUAUCGGCCAUGACUCUGAUGCAGAAGAGAGCUGCUUGGUGCCAUGAAGAUCGCUACUAGCAUAUUCUUCAUGGAACUCUCGAGUACAAUAAAGCCAAAGGAUAUGGGAAAAAAAUAGGAGAG
rnacentral:lncRNA from 1 species